ensembl:lncRNA
AAAGGGAUCACGAGUCCCCUCGGAUCGUGCUGGACAUCCUGUGGGUGGCUUGGCAGCGCACUAUUCCGUUAUUGCAAGAUAAUGAAUAUUGUUUCCUGUGCUAUACAGCAGAUCUUUUUUGGGGGGGGGCAUCUUCCACGUGGCAUGUGGUAUCUUAGUUCCCAGACCAGGGAUCAAACCCACGUCACCUGCAUUGGAAGCUCAGAGUGUUAACCACUGGACAACCAGGGAAGUCCCAGUAAAUCCUUCUUCUUUAUCUGUUUUCUAUAUGGUAGUGUGUAUCUGUGAAUCCCAUACUCCUAAUUUAUCCCUCCUCCACCAUCCAUCCAGCAUCCACCAAAGAAUUGAUGCUUUUGAACUGUGGUGUUAGAGAAGACACUUGAGAGUCCCUUGGACAACAAGAAGAUCAAACCAAUCAAUCCUAAAAGAAAUCAGUCCCAUAUAUUCAUUGGAGGGACUGAUGCUGAAGCUGAAGCUCCAACACUUUGGCCACCUGAUGCGAAGAGCCAACUCACUGGAAAAGACGCUGAUGCUGGGAGAAAGAUCGAAGGCAGAAGGAGAAAGAAGGGGGAGACAGAGGAUGAGAUGGUUGGAUGGCAUCACUGACUCAAUGCGCAUGAAUGUGAGCAAGCUCUGGGAGAUGGUGAAGGACCUGGAAGCCUGGUGUGCUGCAGUCCAUGGAGUUGCAAGGAAUCGGACACAACUUAGCAACUGAACACCACCACCAUCCGUGAGUCUUUGAAGACGAACUUCUUAAAAGCUGAGUGUGCUCUACUUUUCUUCCUACGCUGUCUGCCCCGCCUGCGCACCCCUCUUAUUUCCUUAACUUCUCCCUGCUUCCUCCCUCCCCAAACCCACAAUCUAAGUUCUAAACCUCCAUUUCUUGUCUGAGCUUCCACUUCUUGAGGACUUUGUCGCUGUCCCAGUUUAGCAUCUUCUACUGCUGCACAGCGUCUCGUGUCACGGUGGAUCCCUGCUGAGACAGACACCUUCAGAGUGUGGGCAGGGUAACUGUUUUAAAACGUGAUACUCUGCAUUUCCCUCCUCUGGGAAACAGGAAAUGAAUACCUGAAAAUUUGGCAAGAAGAGAGAGUGCAGAGAGAAGGAAAUGUGCAGGUCCUUUGAACCCCUAUAAAAGGAGAAGUUACAUCUACAUAUUAUGAUAGUUAGCAGCAUCUCUAGCCUCUACCUUGGAGUCCUUUGACCUGUACUCUUGAGAGUCUGUUGGACAGCUAGGAGAUCAAACCAGUCCACCCUAAAGGAAGUCAACCCUGAACAUUCACUGGAAGGACUGAAGCGGAAGCUGAAGCUCUGAUCCUUUGGCUACCUGAUGCGAAGAGCUGACAUAUUGGAAAAGACCCUGAUGUUGGGAACGACUAAAGGCAAGAGAAGAAGCGGGGUGACAGAGAAUGAGAUGGUUGGAUGGCAUCACCGACUCAAUGGACAUGAGUCUGAGUAGACUCAGGGAAGGAGUGAUGGACAGGGAGGCCUAGCGUGCUGCAGUCCACGGGGUCACAAAGCAUCAGGCAUGACUGAGCGACUGAACAGCAACUGGUUUCUACUUGCUUGAUGCCAAUUCUCAUCAACUCUUGGGUAAAAUGGGCUUUGGAAACUAGAGAUUUGGAAUUUCCCUCAGGCUUGGAAGCAUUAUAUGCCAAGGAGGUGUGGGGAGGCACCAGCAGCAUCUGCUACAGUUAACCCCUAUAGCACUCAGAUGGGCUUCCCAGGUAGCACUAGCAGUAAAGGAUCUGCUUGGCAGAGCAGGAGACACGAAAAACAAGGGUUCGAUCCCUCGAUCGGGAAGGUCCCCUGGAGAAGGAAGUGGCAACCCACUCCAGUAUUUUUGCCUGAAAAACUCCAUGGACGGAGGAGCCUGGCAGGGUACAGUCCAUGGGGUUGUGAAGAGUCAGACAUGACUGAGCACACACACAGCACUCAGAACCAUUUCUGUCCUACAUUAACUCACUUCAUGCUGUACUGGUUCUUCCAGGUGAUGGCUGCUCACGAUUGAAAAAGAAUUUAAAAAAUCAUCAUGAGAGAGAGGUUAGGGGGACAGCUAUAUUUCCUGUUUCUUAAGAUGGUCUUAAGGCCAUAUUAGACAUUCAUCUUCUCCCUCCUCUUCCACCCAUUUGAGAUUCUCCUCACUCUUGGUGAGCAAUUUUUUUCUUUUUGGCCACAACAUGUGACCUGCGGAACUUCCAUGACUGGGGAUGGAAUCUGUUCCCCCUGCAAUAGAAGGACAGGAAUUGUAGCCUCCAGAGUUAUUUUAACUCGACCACCAGGGCAGCCCUCAUCUAGCACUUCUGGUCUGAACUGCUCACCUGGGGGGGUGACCCAGACUGUACCCCCAUAACUGGGGCCUUACCAGGCUGUCAUGGUAAUUAUCCACUCCCAGUCAUGACUUGACAUGAAAGCAUGAAGACACGCCCCAGGGAAUUCCCUGUGUUCUGCAAACACUCCUUCUUACCUCAUUAUGUAGACGUGACUGUAUCUCCUCAGAAUAAUUGGAGAUGAAUUACUCUGGCCUACAGCACUUCCCUUUUCUGUCUUCUGGUUUAUUGGCACGUUGCUUAGUUGCCAAGCUGUAUCCGACUCUUUUGAAACCCCACGGACUGUAGCCCACCAGGCUCCUCUGUCCAUGGGAUUCCCCAGGCGAGAAUACUGUAGUGCGUUGCCAUUUCCUUCUCCAGGGGAUCUUCCCAACUCAGGGACUGAACCCAAGUCUCCUGCAUCACAGGUGGACUUUAUUGCUGAGCCACCAGGGAAGCCCCUAUUGGCAUGAGGAGCUCAGAAUAACCAGGUUUUAGCCACACAGUGGAGUUCUAUAUCCUUUUGCAGAACACCUCCUUAUCCCCCAUCAGGAGAUUGAGACUUCUAGUCCAGCCAAACCUGAAGCGCAGAUUCCUCAGGGAGACCCUGGGAGUGGUGAUGAGAGAUGCCACUAGACAUCCAUCCCUUGGUUCCCAGAACUUUGGGGAUUCUACCAAUUGGAAUCCAGCACCCCCAUCCCUCAGGAUUCGCCUACCAACGGGUGCCUUCGUUGUGCCAUUUCAGGCCAUCACAAUGUUUAAUCAAACUGGUAACUUUCAGGUGAUGUUCUACACAGCAGGAUCACUGGAUCCCAUUAUCACAUGCCCAUUUUGACAUAAAAUGGAGCCCUUGGUUUGCGGCAUGUAUCACGAUUCAAUCAGAGAAGCAGAGCCAUUGUGAGUGACAUAGUGACCUAGGUAUUCUUUUUUUGCCAUGUUAUGUGGCAUUUGGGACCAUAGUUCCCCGCCCAUGGAUCAAACUCAUACCCCCAGCAUGGAAGCGCAGUCUUAACUGCUGGACUGCCAGGGAAGUCCCUCAAAAGUUUUUUUUAUAAAAUUUCAUAAUCAUCUCUUUCCAUAGGUAAAAUGCCAGAGUAUUCAAAGCAUUGUGUAGCAACAAAACAUUUUUAGUAAUGUCCCAUGCACUAUUUGAAACACACUUAUACUAAACAAUUAUUCACUGUUUAUGAAUUAUUCAUUAUUCACUGA